CCUACGGGAGGCAGCAGUGGGGAAUAUUGGGCAAUGGAGGCAACUCUGACCCAGCAACGCCGCGUGAAUGAUGAAUGUCUUCGGAUUGUAAAGUUCUGUGAUGGGGGAUGUACACAAUGACGGUACCCCAAUAGCAAGCCACGGCUAACUACGUGCCAGCAGCCGCGGUAAUACGUAGGGCGCAAGCGUUCUCCGGAAUGACUGGGCGUAAGGGGUGCGUAGGUGGUUUAGUAAGUUAGCGGUGUAAUUCCGGGGCUCAACCUCGGCGCUACCGCCAAAACUAUUAGACUAGAGUGCAGGAGAGGUAAGCGGAAUUCGUAGUGUAGCGGUGAAAUGCGUAGAUAUUAGGAGGAACAUCAGGGGCGAAGGCGACUUACUGGACUGUAACUGACACUGAGGCACGAAAGCGUGGGGAGCAAACAGGAUUAGAUACCCUUGUAGUC
rnacentral:rRNA from 1 species